rnacentral:rRNA from 1 species
UACAGAGGUCUCAAGCGUUGUUCGGAUUCAUUGGGCGUAAAGGGUGCGUAGGUGGCAUGGUAAGUCGGAUGUGAAAUCCCGGGGCUCAACCCCGGAACUGCAUUCGAUACUGCUGCGCUAGAGUACUGGAGAGGAGAUUGGAAUUUACGGUGUAGCAGUGAAAUGCGUAGAUAUCAGGAGGAACACCUGUGGCGAAAGCGGCUCACUGGACCAUAACUGACGCUGAUGCACGAAAGCUAGGGGAGCAAACAGG